CACGUCUACCCGCCGCGCACGGGCCACCGCGCGUUCCCGCCUGAAGUUUUCGUACGCGCUGUUCCUUUCGCGUAGCCAAAUUCCACCGACCUCGAGGAAAUGCCACCUUCUCCAGGGGCCUUCCCAGACCCCCUCCCCUGCCCGCGGUCGACGGCCGCCCUGUGAUUACUGGGGGUGCGGUGGGAGUCACUGGACUCGCUGCCGAUCCUAGGAGCCCAGCACGGCGCCGCACGCGGUGGGCCCAAAGCCCGACCGUGGGGGACCUCAAACCAGAGGCCCUCAAGGCCCGUUCCACCCGGCCUGUGGCGCAGUGCUGGGCACUUGGGAACGGAGGUCCCUGUCUUCUCGCUGCAAGCCCCUCCGUGGUGCGCGCCGUGGGUCUGCGGGUUGGUCUUUUUCCUCGUUUAUGAAGUUCUUUUCACUCGUCGUUACUAUUUUGUAAGUUCACCAUUUAAAAAUUAAUAAUGCCAAGCCCGA
ensembl:lncRNA novel transcript, antisense to CTDSP1